AAGGCAGCAAGCAGCUGGCUGGCUGGUGGAGGGGAAAGGCAAGGCCAGGUGAGCAUAAGCAGAAGCACCACAGUCUG